rnacentral:rRNA from 1 species
UACAGAGGUCCCAAGCGUUGUUCGGAUUCACUGGGCGUAAAGGGUGCGUAGGUGGUCAGGUAAGUCUGAUGUGAAAUCUCUGAGCUCAACUCAGAAACUGCAUUGGAUACUAUCUGGCUAGAGGAGUGGAGGGGGGACUGGAAUACUUGGUGUAGCAGUGAAAUGCGUAGAUAUCAAGUGGAACACCAGUGGCGAAGGCGAGUCCCUGGACACUUCCUGACACUGAGGCACGAAAGCUAGGGGAGCAAACAGG